CAAAAACUAAUCAUCACAUCUGCUUAUUACUUCAGAACAAUGACGUCCUCACCAAUUUUCUCAGGGUCUUCCUAGAAGUGAUUGGGUUUCUCUCACCUCUCAACUCUUACUGGAGUCAACUAUAUCAACAGUGACUGUGGAAGGUCUCCCCAGUGCAUUUGGAUUUAGCAGUUCACAGGAGUUCUGCAUAUGAAAUGAUUCAGAAGAAAUAUCUAUCUAUCUAUCUAUAUACAUAAAUAGUUAAUGCUUCAAUACACCGGAAGUAGACCAAAAAAAAUAUAAUCCUUUGAGUUUGUUGUUUAAGUAGUUGUAUUUGUAUGUGGGUGGCAGAGAGAAGAGAGUGAUAAAUUUACCCUGACUACUGUGUGCUAGUCCUCAGUUCUCUAGAAGUGAAGAGAGAGAUGAGAUGAAAGAAACACUCACAAAAGAUCAGGCACAUCUCUACAGAGGAAGAGGCUGUUCUAAAAUUUAAGAAGGUGAGAACUGUAGAAAAGAGAUUCUACUUUCAAGCUUUGGAAGGCUUCAGGUCUUUGUACAACAAUAGUGUAGCAUUUCCCUGUAAAAUGCCAUUAGAAUUAUAGGUUAAUGUUUUUACAAUUAAUUCUGUCACACAGCUUUGUAUACAAGUUUCCUUUA
rnacentral:lncRNA from 1 species